rnacentral:sRNA from 1 species
UCCUGGGCCUAAAACAUUUGGCCAUUAUUUAACUGUUUUUUUUUUGAGACAGAAUUGCGCCACUGCACCCCAGCCUGGGCGACAGAGCGAGACUCCUUCUCAAAAAAAAAAAAAAAGGAAGAAAUGUAGAAAUGAGGGUAUAAGGGUAUAAUUAACAUUGAUUUUAAAAAGCCAUACAAACAGUAAUAACAUUGUCUCUCUUCUCAAUUUUUUUCUUCAGGCUCAAUAUGUAUUGAUUUCUCCUGAAGCCAGCUCAAGGUUUGGGAGCUCCCUGAUCACCGUGAGGUCUAAGGCAAAGAACCAAGUCGUCAUUGCUGCUGGAAGGAGUUCUUUGGGAGCCCGACUCUCCGGGGCACUUCACGUCUAUAGCCUUGGCUCAGAUUGAAGAUUUCACUGCAUUUCCCCACUCUGCCCACCUCUCUCAUGCUGAAUCACAUACAUGCUUCCCUCUAAUGGCUUCCCAUGAGCACACACAGGAGUGGGGAAACCUUACUUGUACUUCAUCGGUUUUCUUCCAAAUCAGCGAUGGGAGUAACAUUUUUAUUCCUAUCACUAAAACCACCUAAAAAAUGGACUCUUAAACUUCCUCAUAUGACAUCACGUUAGGCUAAUCACGUACCCUCAAUAUCAUCAGGGUAAGCGUAUUUAUUCUGUUAUUAUUACAUUUGCAGUGCAAGAGCUGGACACUCUAGAAUCUUCCAUGCACACUACUUUGGGAGGCUUAACUAAUGUUCUAGUGCAUAACUGUACUUAACCUCCAGAAAAUAUUUUAAAAGGUCGGUAGGAUGUUAACGAGGAUGGCAGCUUUCAGGCUUACAAAUAUUAGCCAUUUGUUUUAAACCCAAAUCUCUGUGGAAAUGA